rnacentral:rRNA from 1 species
AGAGUUUGAUCCUGGCUCAGGACGAACGCUGGCGGCGUGCUUAACACAUGCAAGUCGAACGGAAAGGCCCUUCGGGGUACUCGAGUGGCGAACGGGUGAGUAACACGUGGGUGAUCUGCCCUGCACUUUGGGAUAAGCCUGGGAAACUGGGUCUAAUACCGAAUAUGACCAUGCGCCUCCUGGUGUGUGGUGGAAAGCUUUUGCGGUGUGGGAUGGGCCCGCGGCCUAUCAGCUUGUUGGUGGGGUAAUGGCCUACCAAGGCGACGACGGGUAGCCGGCCUGAGAGGGUGACCGGCCACACUGGGACUGAGAUACGGCCCAGACUCCUACGGGAGGCAGCAGUGGGGAAUAUUGCACAAUGGGCGCAAGCCUGAUGCAGCGACGCCGCGUGAGGGAUGACGGCCUUCGGGUUGUAAACCUCUUUCAGCACAGACGAAGCGCAAGUGACGGUAUGUGCAGAAGAAGGACCGGCCAACUACGUGCCAGCAGCCGCGGUAAUACGUAGGGUCCGAGCGUUGUCCGGAAUUACUGGGCGUAAAGAGCUCGUAGGUGGUUUGUCGCGUUGUUCGUGAAAACUCACAGCUUAACUGUGGGCGUGCGGGCGAUACGGGCAGACUUGAGUACUGCAGGGGAGACUGGAAUUCCUGGUGUAGCGGUGGAAUGCGCAGAUAUCAGGAGGAACACCGGUGGCGAAGGCGGGUCUCUGGGCAGCAACUGACGCUGAGGAGCGAAAGCGUGGGGAGCGAACAGGAUUAGAUACCCUGGUAGUCCAA